UACGAAGGGGGCUAGCGUUGCUCGGAAUCACUGGGCGUAAAGCGCACGUAGGCGGAUCGUUAAGUCAGGGGUGAAAUCCUGGAGCUCAACUCCAGAACUGCCUUUGAUACUGGCGGCCUUGAGUUCGGGAGAGGUGAGUGGAACUGCGAGUGUAGAGGUGAAAUUCGUAGAUAUUCGCAAGAACACCAGUGGCGAAGGCGGCUCACUGGCCCGGUACUGACGCUGAGGUGCGAAAGCGUGGGGAGCAAACAGG
rnacentral:rRNA from 1 species